CAGUCGCCGCGGUAAUACGUAGGGUGCGAGCGUUAAUCGGAAUUACUGGGCGUAAAGCGUGCGCAGGCGGUUCGUUAAGACAGAUGUGAAAUCCCCGGGCUUAACCUGGGAACUGCAUUUGUGACUGGCGAGCUAGAGUAUGGCAGAGGGGGGUAGAAUUCCACGUGUAGCAGUGAAAUGCGUAGAGAUGUGGAGGAAUACCGAUGGCGAAGGCAGCCCCCUGGGCCAAUACUGACGCUCAUGCACGAAAGCGUGGGGAGCAAACAGGAUUAGAUACCCGCGUAGUCCCUGUCUCUUAUAC
rnacentral:rRNA from 1 species